CCUGUGAACUUGUGAGACAGUUGGGGAAUUUAUUUGUUAUUUUUUGUAAUAAAAUGAUAAUAAGUCAUUGAACCCUUCUGUCUACUCAACUCAUAUAAAAUCAAUUUAUUUUAAAUGAAUGUAAUGGAUGUAACACAUCUCAUACUAAGUUUCAACAACGGAUCUCUUGGCUCUCGCAUCGAUGAAGAACGCAGCGAAAUGCGAUAAGUAAUGUGAAUUGCAGAAUUCAGUGAAUCAUCGAAUCUUUGAACGCACCUUGCGCUCCUUGGUAUUCCUUGGAGCAUGCCUGUUUGAGUAUCAUGAAAUCUUCAAAAUCAAUCUUUUUGUUAACUCAAUUAGUUUGAUUUUGGUAUUGGAGGUCUUUUGCAGCUUCACACCUGCUCCUCUUUGUGUAUUAGCUGGAUCUCAGUGUUAUGCUUGGUUCCACUCAGCGUGAUAAAUUAUCUAUCGCUGAGGACACUGUAAAAAGUGGCCAAGGUAAAUGCAGAUGAACCGCUUCUAAUAGUCCAUUGACUUGGACACUAUUAUUAUGAUCUGAUCUCAAAUCAGGUAGGACUACCCGCUGAACUUAAGCAUAUCAAUAAAGCGGAGGA
rnacentral:rRNA from 1 species